rnacentral:tRNA from 1 species
GGAGAUGUAGCUCAGUUGGUGGAGUGCUUGCCUUGCAUGCACAAGGCCCUGGGUUCAAUCCCCAGCAUCACCA